AAAAAGGCCAGUUUUUAUUCUAAAAUAAAGAACAUUUAUUAUCACAAGUUGGAUAAAAACACACAGCUUUUACAAAAAUGAUUUUUGAUAGAAAAAUAUGUUUGAAUACACUGUGAUAUUUGUAGGAACACCACACUAUUGCUGUAUCUCCAGCUAAAGCUUCAAGGAAACUCUAUUUCUUAUAAUCAAAAUAUCCACUAUUUACCACAACCCGUCUUUGGAAAGAAGUUCAUAGUGUAUUCUGAACAAACCAAAGCAUUUACUCGGAAGUUACAUUCCCAUGCCUGGCAGUCACUUGUGUAUGUUUAAUACAGUUACACAUGAUGUAAUUACAGAAUGGCGGCGCUGGAAGGGACCUUGUAGAUCAUUUAGUUGGCACCCUAAUUUUACAGAGGGGGAACUAAGGCCAGAGUUGAGAGAUGUCCUCAGGAUACCUGAGUCCCAUUCCAGUGUUCGUUCAGUAAUUCAUAAGGAAGUCAUCAUAAAGGUUUAAAAAGAAAACGUUAAUGACUCGCUCCCUUUAUUCUUCUGUGCUGAGAGUAUCAUUCUGGUUUAUUCAGAUUAAGAAAGAAAUACACUACUGAAAUGGUAUGAAACUCACUGUCAAAGGGCACUUAGGUCCGUUGGCUCCGUUUCCCACAGUUCCCCAAAUGAACAGGUGGUACAAGACUCAGGCUUUCCCCUAAUUACUUACUUGGGUAAAGUGACUUGGGUAAAAUGAAAGAUACAGCCAGGCGCUGGGCUCAUGCUUGUAAUCCCAGCACUUUGGGGGGCCAGGGCGGGCGGAUCACGAGGUCAGGAGUUCAAGACCAGCCUGGCCAACAUGGUGAAACCCCGUCUCUACUAAAAAUACAAAAGUUAGCUGGGUGUGGUGAUGGGCACCAGCUACUCAGGAGGCUGAGGCAGGAGAAUUGUUUGAACCCGGGAAGCGGAGGUUGCAGUGAGCCGAGAUUACACCAUUGCACUCCAGCCUGGGCGACAGAGCAAGACUUACUUAAGUAAGUAAGUAAGUCAGUCUCAAAAAAAAAAAAAAAAAAA
rnacentral:lncRNA from 10 species